CUCACUGGGAUCCUAUUGGCAGAGCAUCAGCCCCGUCAUGGAAAGAAUGCCUCCACCAGGGAGGACUGGGGCUGAUAGUCCACUAUGUUAUCAAGUUCAAAGCCUAAGAAAUAUUGAACAUUUCCACACAUCAAUGUGGGUACUAUGUUUAAUUUGAGAAUGGCCAACUGUCCUCGAAGUCUCAAUCUCUUUGGAGCCUACCAGCUCCGAGAGAAGUUUGAGGAUGCUGCAACACCCUCCCCUGCAAAUCCAUCUACUCCUCCCACUUCUAUCCUAAUGGGUAUAGUUCUUGGCUGUGCUGAGGAUCUGUAAGGCACCAGAUGUGAAAGUAAGGAAGAGAGAUGGAUGUGGAAGAAAGUCACUGCCCAGAGAAUAAGGAGACCUGGAUUCUAAUCUCAGCUCUGCCAUUAACUAGCUGUGAGACUCAAUAAUAACUAAUCAUUUUGAUAACUC
rnacentral:lncRNA from 1 species